AAUCAACGCUGGCGGCGUGCUUCAGACAUGCAAGUCGAACGAUUAAAGCUCUCUUCGGAGAGUGUAUAGAGUGGCGCACGGGUGAGUAACACGUAAGUAAUCUACCCUCGAGUGGGGAAUAACGUCCGGAAACGGACGCUAAUACCGCAUAAUGCAGCGGCACCGCAAGGCGACAGUUGUUAAUGAUUUAUCGGUUGGGGAGGAGGUGGCGGCAGAUUGGCUAGUUGGUAAGGUAAUGGCUUACCAAGGCUACGAUCUGUAACCGGUCUAAGAGGACGGUCGGUCACACUGACACUGAAUAACGGGUCAGACUCCUACGGGAGGCAGCAGUCGGGAAUUUUGGGCAAUGGGCGAAAGCCUGACCCAGCAACGCCGCGUGAAGGAUGAAGUAUUUCGGUAUGUAAACUUCGAAAGAAUAGGAAGAAUAAAUGACGGUACUAUUUAUAAGGUCCGGCUAACUACGUGCCAGCCGCCGCGGUAAAAC
rnacentral:rRNA from 1 species